CAGGAUCAACCAGGUAGCAUUCCUCAGGGACAUCGAGUCUCGAGAUGUAAAACACCUGUGAGACAUCGACAGUCAAUCGAAUGGGGCACGUAAUGCCGAUUUGUGGGCAAAUAGAGGGUUAUAUGACCCUUACCCGCAGCGUUUUUUGAAUCCCCGACAUCAAGCUACGCCCGUGGGUCGAGACCGCAUAGCAAUUCAUAUGCGAUUCGAAACACGAAUUUCGCUUCGAGGCUUUCCCGAUGCCGCACCGCGUAAACGGGCAGCAGUGGGAAAGAUUGGUAUAGAUUGCCCAACAAUUCCAGGGAUGUAGGUAUACAGCACAGGA
rnacentral:misc_RNA from 1 species